CUGAUCUCGGAAGCUAAGCAGGGUCGGGCCUGGUGAGUACUUGGAUGGGAGACCUCCUGGGAAAAGUGGGUGCUGUAGGCUU
rnacentral:rRNA from 1 species